GGAGUCGUGGAGGGAACUUUCCCAGGCCCCGAGGCGGAUCGGGUAUUGAGUCCAUGGAGCGAGCUGAGAGCUAGAGAACCUGCUAAGGCCAUCAAACCUAUCGAUCGGAAGUCAGUCCAUCAGAUUUGCUCUGGGCCGGUGGUACUGAGUCUAAGCACUGCGGUGAAGGAGUUAGUAGAAAACAGUCUGGAUGCUGGUGCCACCAAUAUUGAUCUAAAGCUUAAGGACUAUGGAGUGGAUCUCAUUGAAGUUUCAGACAAUGGAUGUGGGGUAGAAGAAGAAAACUUUGAAGGCUUAACGAUGUCACCAUUUCUACCUGCCACGCAUCGGCGAAGGUUGGGACUCGACUGGUGUUUGAUCACGAUGGGAAAAUCAUCCAGAAAACCCCCUACCCCCACCCCAGAGGGACCACAGUCAGCGUGAAGCAGUUAUUUUCUACACUACCUGUGCACCAUAAGGAAUUUCAAAGGAAUAUUAAGAAGGUGAUCUCAGCCCUCCUCCAGGCUUCGAUUAUAACUUACAGGAUUGUGAUUCACACAUUUCAGUUUCCACCACAGGCCCCUCCAGACAUGUCCAUCUGCCUGCUGUGUUGACUUUUCCCUUUGGAGUCUUGAGGCAGCUACAAGCUUACUGACCAGAAAUGAACUCAAGCUCUCCCCGAAGCCUGGUCCUCUUCCAGGAUCAGCCAGCCUGGAAGAUGGCACUGUCAUCCACCCUGUUCUCAGGCCUGCCACCCAGGAGUCAACCUUAGCCCCAUCUAAUUGUCAGAGGCAUCUGAACCACAGCAACUCCAUCUUGAGUAGGGGAUGGGUAAAAUGAGGCUGAGACCUGCUGGGCUGCAUUCCCAGACAGCCAAGGCAUUAGCCACAGGAUAAGAUAGGCGGUCGGUACAAGACACAGGUCAUAAAGACCUUGCUGAUAAAACAGUUGGCAGUAAAGAAGCCAGCCAAAACCCACUAAAACCAAGAUGGCAACGAGAGUGACCUCUGGUCGUCCUCACUGCUACCCUCCCACCAGCACCAUGACAGUUUACAAAUGCCAUGGCAAUGUCAGAAAGUUACCCUAUAGGGUCUAAAAAGGGGAGGCAUGAAUAAUCUACCCCUUGUUUAGCAUAUCAUCAAGAAAUAACCAUAAAAAUAGGCAACCAGCAGCCCUCAGGGAUGCUCUGUCUAUGGAGUAGCCAUUCUUUUGUUCCUUUACUCUCUUAAUAAACUUGUUUUCACUUUA
ensembl:lncRNA PMS2P4 PMS1 homolog 2, mismatch repair system component pseudogene 4